AGUAAUGUCUGGGAAACUGCCUGAUGGAGGGGGAUAACUACUGGAAACGGUAGCUAAUACCGCAUAACGUCGCAAGACCAAAGAGGGGGACCCUCGGGCCUCUUGCCAUCGGAUGUGCCCAGAUGGGAUUAGCUUGUUGGUGGGGUAACGGCUCACCAAGGCGACGAUCCCUAGCUGGUCUGAGAGGAUGACCAGCCACACUGGAACUGAGACACGGUCCAGACUCCUACGGGAGCAGCAUG
rnacentral:rRNA from 1 species